GACGAACGCUGGCGGCGUGCUUAACACAUGCAAGUCGUACGGUAAGGCCCUUUCGGGGGUACACGAGUGGCGAACGAGUGAGUAACACGUGAGUAACCUGCCCACAACUUUGGGAUAACGCUAGGAAACUGGUGCUAAUACUGGAUAUGUGCUCCUGCUGCAUGGUGGGGGUUGGAAAGCUCCGGCGGUUGUGGAUGGACUCGCGGCCUAUCAGCUUGUUGGUGGGGUAGUGGCCUACCAAGGCGGCGACGGGUAGGCGGCCUGAGAGGGUGACCGGCCACAUUAGGACUGAGGUACGGCCCAGACUCCUACGGGAGGCAACAGUGGGGAAUAUUGCACAAUGGGCGCUAGCCUGAUGCAGCAACGCCGCGUGCGGGAUGACGGCCUUCGGGUUGUAAACCGCUUUCAGCAGGGACGAAGCUUUUUGUGACGGUACCUGCAGAAGAAGCACCGGCUAACUACGUG
rnacentral:rRNA from 1 species